CCUACGGGUGGCAGCAGUGGGGGAUAUUGCACAAUGGGGGGAACCCUGAUGCAGCGACGCCGCGUGGGUGAAGGAGUGCUUCGGCAUGUAAAGCCCUAUCUGCAGGGAAGAAGCAAGACGGUACCUGACUAAGAAGCCCCGGCUAACUACGUGCCAGCAGCCGCGGUAAUACGUAGGGGGCGAGCGGUCUCCGGAUUCACUGGGUGUAAAGGGAGCGUAGACGGGCAUGCAGGACAGGUGUGAAAGCCCGUGGCCCAACCCCGGGACUGCCCUUGGAACUGGAUGGCUGGAGUGCGGGAGGGGCAGGCGGAAUUGCUGGUGUAGCGGUGAAAUGCGUAGAUAUUAGGAGGAACACCAGUGGCGAAGGCGGUCUGCUGGACAGCAACUGACGCUGAGGCGCGAAAGCGUGGGGAGCAAACAGGAUUAGAUACCCUAGUAGUC
rnacentral:rRNA from 1 species